GCGGAUGAGAGAGCUUGCUCUUCGAUUCAGCGGCGGACGGGUGAGUAAUGCCUAGGAAUCUGCCUGGUAGUGGGGGACAACGUUUCGAAAGGAACGCUAAUACCGCAUACGUCCUACGGGAGAAAGCAGGGGACCUUCGGGCCUUGCGCUAUCAGAUGAGCCUAGGUCGGAUUAGCUAGUUGGUGAGGUAAUGGCUCACCAAGGCGACGAUCCGUAACUGGUCUGAGAGGAUGAUCAGUCACACUGGAACUGAGACACGGUCCAGACUCCUACGGGAGGCAGCAGUGGGGAAUAUUGGACAAUGGGCGAAAGCCUGAUCCAGCCAUGCCGCGUGUGUGAAGAAGGUCUUCGGAUUGUAAAGCACUUUAAGUUGGGAGGAAGGGCAUUAACCUAAUACGUUAGUGUUUUGACGUUACCGACAGAAUAAGCACCGGCUAACUCUGUGCCAGCAGCCGCGGUAAUACAGAGG
rnacentral:rRNA from 1 species